GUACACUCCUGCGGGAGGCAGCAGUGGGGAAUAUUGGACAAUGGGCGCAAGCCUGAUCCAGCCAUGCCGCGUGAGUGAUGAAGGCCCUAGGGUUGUAAAGCUCUUUCACCGGUGAAGAUAAUGACGGUAACCGGAGAAGAAGCCCCGGCUAACUUCGUGCCAGCAGCCGCGGUAAUACGAAGGGGGCUAGCGUUGUUCGGAUUUACUGGGCGUAAAGCGCACGUAGGCGGACUAUUAAGUCAGGGGUGAAAUCCCGGGGCUCAACCCCGGAACUGCCUUUGAUACUGGUAGUCUUGAGUUCGAGAGAGGUGAGUGGAAUUCCGAGUGUAGAGGUGAAAUUCGUAGAUAUUCGGAGGAACACCAGUGGCGAAGGCGGCUCACUGGCUCGAUACUGACGCUGAGGUGCGAAAGCGUGGGGAGCAAACAGGAUUAGAAACCCCUGUAGUCCCAUGA
rnacentral:rRNA from 1 species